rnacentral:tRNA from 1 species
AGUAUGGCUCAGUGGUAGAGCUCAUGCUCAGCAUGUAUGAAACCCUGGGUUCAAUCCCUAGCACU